UUAAAUUGAUAAAAAGUUGAAAUUAAAAUUUUUAAAAAUUUAAUUUUUGUUUAAGAAUUAAUUAUAAAAUGAUAAUAAUAAAUAAAUUUUUAUUUUUAAAUAAUUAGAAUAAUUUAAUAUUUAUAUUUAAAAAAUUAAUGUGAAUUAGAUUUAGAUAUUUUUGUUAAUAAUUGGUAAAUUUAGUGCCAGCCACAGCGGUUAAACUAAAAUUAAAAAUUAAUUUAUUCAAUAAAUAAUAUAAUAGAUUGAUUUAUAGAUUAAAUAAUAUUUAUAUAAAUAAUUAUUUAAUUAAUGUAUAAUAAAUAAAUUUUUAAUGGUGAAAUAUAAAAAAUUUUAAAUUAAUAAUAAUUAUAGAAAUUAACUUAAAUAAAUUAUGUAGUAAACUAGGAUUAGAUACCCUAUUAUAAUAAAAAAUAAUAUAUAAGAUAUUAAAGUAUUAAAUGGUAGAUCAUUAAAUUUAUAAGAUUUGGCGGUAUUUCAUUCAAUUUAGGGGAACUUGUUGAGUAAUUGAUGAUCCACGAUAAGAUUUACUUAAUUAAAAAUUUAUGUAUUGCUGUUUUUAGAUAUAUUAAAAAAAUAUAAUUGAAAUUUAAAUUUAUAAAAUAAUUCAAGUCAAAAUAUAGUUUAAUUAAGAUUUAAUGAGUUACAAUAAUUUUAUUUAUAUGGAUUAAAAAAUUUAAUUUUUUUAUGAAAGUGGACUUAAAAGUAAAAUUAAUAAAUUUAUUUAUUUGAAAAUUGUUUAUGAUUUAUGUACAAAUCGCCCGUCACUUCCAAUAAAAUGGAAUAAGUCGUAACAAAGUUUAGGUAUCGGAAGGUGCUUAUAGAAAAUA
rnacentral:ncRNA from 1 species